rnacentral:rRNA from 1 species
AUGAAUCUCCUAAGAUGGAACUGCCGGGGAGGGGGGAAUACCCCGAUAGUUCAAGAGCUGGCGACUCUUUGUCAGUCGCAUUCCCCCACUUUGGUGUUUUUGUGUGAAACAAGGCAGAAGGCGGACAAGUUGAAAAGAAUCCGAGCGAGGUUGGGCUUGAAGGGUUUUUGCGGCGUGGAUAGUAAUGGUAUGAGCGGCGGUCUGGCUCUAUAUUGGCAUGAAUCUUAUGACGUCCAAAUUCUAGACAAGAAGGAAAGAUACAUUGAUGCCUUGGUGCGAAUUCAUCCGGAUGCUGAGCAAUGGAGAGUAACUUGCAUGUAUGGAGAACCCAGAGUGGAAAAUAGACCGGCAAUGUGGUCGGCGUUACAAAACCUGAAAACUGUCAUUGACCGGCCUGUUUAG